GAUGAACGCUGGCGGCGUGCCUAAUACAUGCAAGUCGAGCGAACAGACGAGGAGCUUGCUCCUCUGACGUUAGCGGCGGACGGGGGAGUAACACGUGGAUAACCUACCUAUAAGACUGGGAUAACUUCGGGAAACCGGAGCUAAUACCGGAUAAUAUAUUGAACCUCAUGGUUCAAUAGUGAAAGACGGUUUUGCUGUCACUUAUAGAUGGAUCCGAGCCGCCUUAUCUAGUUGGUAAGGUAACGGCUUACCAAGGCAACGAUGGGUAGCCGACCUGAGAGGGUGAUCGGCCACACUGGCACUGAGACAGGGUACAGACUCCUAAGCUGGGACACAGUAGGGACUCUUACGCAAUGGAGCAAUGCGGGACGGAGCACAGCCGCCUGAGUGAUGAAGGUCUUAGGACCGGAACACUCUGUUAUUAGGGAAGAACAAAUGUGUAAGUAAAUAUGCACGUCAUGACGGUACCUAAUCAGAAAGCCACGGCUAACUACGUG
rnacentral:rRNA from 1 species